UUGGCUACGGGGGGCAGCAGUGAGGAAUAUUGGUCAAUGGGCGCGAGCCUGAACCAGCCAAGUCGCGUGAGGGAAGACGGUCCUAUGGAUUGUAAACCUCUUUUGUCGGGGAGCAAAAGACGCCACGUGUGGCGUUCCGAGAGUACCCGAAGAAAAAGCAUCGGCUAACUCCGCGCCAGCAGCCGCGGUAAUACGGAGGAUGCGAGCGUUAUCCGGAUUUAUUGGGUUUAAAGGGUGCGCAGGCGGAUUUUUAAGUCAGCGGUCAAAUCGUGGGGCUCAACCCCAUCCAGCCGUUGAAACUGGGG
rnacentral:rRNA from 1 species